rnacentral:tRNA from 2 species
AUUUGAGUAUCUUAAGUUUAAAGUUUAAUAUUGAAGCUAUUAAUAUAGAUAUUUUCUCUCAAAUA